rnacentral:tRNA from 1 species
UAGCCUACUGGUUAAGGCUAUGGAUCGCCAAUCCGGAAACAGCGGGUUCGAUUCCCGU